rnacentral:snRNA from 1 species
GGAGUCUGACAUGUGUGC